CCCUACGGGGCGCAGCAGUGAGGAAUUUUGGACAAUGGGCGCAAGCCUGAUCCAGCUAUUCCGCGUGUGGGAUGACGGCCCUCGGGUUGUAAACCACUUUAGUAGAGAACGAAAAGGAGCUAUCGAAUAAAUAGCUCUGCUGACGGUACUCUAAGAAUAAGCACCGGCUAACUACGUGCCAGCAGCCGCGGUAAUACGUAGGUGGCAAGCGUUGUCCGGAUUUAUUGGGCGUAAAGCGAGCGCAGGCGGAGAAAUAAGUCUGAUGUGAAAGCCCACGGCUCAACCGUGGAACUGCAUCGGAAACU
rnacentral:rRNA from 1 species